rnacentral:precursor_RNA from 10 species
AUACGUCGACGUGCCCUGCGACUAAAUUCAUGAACUUUCCCAGGAAUAAGUCUUUCUUUGUUAUGUCAGACUUACUCCCGGGAGUUCUCGCCUCUUGUCGUGCUCUCGCCACGUCAUAGC